rnacentral:rRNA from 1 species
GUGCCAGCAGCCGCGGUAAUACGUAGGGGGCAAGCGUUGUCCGGAAUUAUUGGGCGUAAAGCGCGCGCAGGCGGCAUUGUAAGUCUUGUGUUUAAACGCGGGGCUCAACCCCGUGUCGCAUGGGAAACUGCAAGGCUUGAGUGCAGAAGAGGAAAGUGGAAUUCCACGUGUAGCGGUGAAAUGCGUAGAGAUGUGGAGGAACACCAGUGGCGAAGGCGACUUUCUGGGCUGUAACUGACGCUGAGGCGCGAAAGCGUGGGGAGCAAACAGGAUUAGAUACCCUGGUAGUCC